rnacentral:lncRNA from 1 species
AAAGUUGCUAAAGUUAUAUUUCAUAAUUCCAAUUCAAAAUAAUGCUAACCAUUGCCAUCUCGUAAUGGCAUUUCUAAUCAAAUAUACAUAUAUUGUUUAAAACAUAUAUCUUAAUAAUUUACAUCGGGUUUGUCUAUACACAACAAAAAGGAUACUCGACUUUCAGAGGAGAGACUCGGGUGAAAGUUCAGCUAUUGAAUGUCGAGAUACCUACCAAGGAAACGAAUCUACAAGGACACCUCGACCUAGUUACCGGCUGUGUCACGACCCGGAACUCCCCAUCGGGCCCGUGACAACCGCCGCGAGGCCUCGACAAACAUUCUUCACCCCGAAUGUCGAUCGAAACCCCGCAAGGCUCUCGUAUCAGCUUUCGCACUUCCCCGGUGAACAAUAGCUAUCAAAUAUCAAAAUUCAAGGGAUUACAAAUCAUUUUCAAAUCAGAACAUAACAUUUUGUUUUCUAGCUCACAGGGGCAUUUUCGUCAUUUCAUUUUUUUUUUGAAAAUCUCAAAACUUGCUAAAAAUGUAGUAGGUAAGCAGAGAAUAUAUAUUUAAUGAUUUAAAAACAAAUUAAAUAUCUAAAACGUUCAUUUGAAGUGAAAAUUUGAUCAUUUGAAUAUAAUAAAAAUAUUUAAUAAAAUAACUAUUUUCUUGUAAAAUAAUUUUCGUAAAACUAUCGGUACAUAAUUCUUAUAGCGUAAAAGUUAAUUAUAUUCAUAUAUACUAUAAAGCAAAUAACCAAAGCAUAAAAUUUCUUUACAGUGACACGUGGGCCUACCUCUAACCAAAAUGCAUCGGAAGCUGAAAACCUAUAGCUUUUACCGAUUCAAGUCCAAAUGAAAGUCCUUGUCAAAGUCAACUAAUUAUGGAAUUCCCUGAGCUUGAAAUGUGAGGAAAUGAGGGUGGUGAGAUUAUAAAAUCCCAGUGAGUAAACAGACACCAUCUAAACUAUCUAAAAUCGAGUAAAUGGAGACAAUUAAAAUAAGUCAUCAUACUGUAAUUUCAUUACCUUUCAACUCAUUUCAACCAAAUAAAAUCAAUCCAUAUAAAUCGAGUAAUCAACUUGGCUUAUGAAUU